rnacentral:rRNA from 1 species
UCUCUUCGGAGUUGACGAUAAUGGAAUGAGCGGCGGACGGGUGAGUAACACGUAGGCAACCUGCCUGUAAGACUGGGAUAACUCGUGGAAACGCGAGCUAAUACCGGAUAACACUUUUCAUCUCCUGAUGAGAAGUUGAAAGGCGGCUUUUGCUGUCACUUACAGAUGGGCCUGCGGCGCAUUAGCUAGUUGGUAAGGUAACGGCUUACCAAGGCGACGAUGCGUAGCCGACCUGAGAGGGUGAUCGGCCACACUGGGACUGAGACACGGCCCAGACUCCUACGGGAGGCAGCAGUAGGGAAUCUUCCGCAAUGGACGAAAGUCUGACGGAGCAACGCCGCGUGAGUGAUGAAGGUUUUCGGAUCGUAAAACUCUGUUGUUAGGGAAGAACAAGUGCUAUAGUAACUGAUGGUACCUUGACGGUACCUAACCAGAAAGCCACGGCUAACUACGUGCCAGCAGCCGCGGUAAUACGUAGGUGGCAAGCGUUGUCCGGAAUUAUUGGGCGUAAAGCGCUCGCAGGCGGUUCUUUAAGUCUGAUGUGAAAUCUUACGGCUCAACCGUAAACGUGCAUUGGAAACUGGGGAACUUGAGUGCAG